CCUACGGGUGUGCUGCAGUGGGGAAUAUUGGACAAUGGGCGAAAGCCUGAUCCAGCCAUGCCGCGUGUGUGAAGAAGGCCUUCGGGUUGUAAAGCACUUUCAGUGGGGAAGAAAGCCUUGGGGCUAAUACCCUCGAGGAAGGACAUCACCCACAGAAGAAGCACCGGCUAACUCCGUGCCAGCAGCCGCGGUAAUACGGAGGGUGCGAGCGUUAAUCGGAAUUACUGGGCGUAAAGCGCGCGUAGGCGGUCUGAUAAGCCGGUUGUGAAAGCCCCGGGCUCAACCUGGGAACGGCAUCCGGAACUGUCAGGCUAGAGUGCAGGAGAGGAAGGUAGAAUUCCCGGUGUAGCGGUGAAAUGCGUAGAGAUCGGGAGGAAUACCAGUGGCGAAGGCGGCCUUCUGGACUGACACUGACGCUGAGGUGCGAAAGCGUGGGUAGCAAACAGGAUUAGAUACCCGAUAGU
rnacentral:rRNA from 1 species